rnacentral:rRNA from 1 species
UACGUAGGGACCAAGCGUUGUUCGGAUUUACUGGGCGUAAAGGGCGCGUAGGCGGCUUGUCAAGUCACUUGUGAAAUCUCUGGGCUUAACCCAGAACGGCCAAGUGAAACUGACAUGCCAGAGUGCAGAAGGGGCAAUCGGAAUUCUUGGUGUAGCGGUGAAAUGCGUAGAUAUCAAGAGGAACACCGAUGGCGAAGGCAGCUCGCUGGGACGGUACUGACGCUGAGGCGCGAAAGCGUGGGGAGCAAACAGG